CGGUCACAUAAAUAUUCCCAUACCUCGUUCCUACUUUAUAACUGUUACUUUCUGUUUUAAUUGAGAUAAUAAUAGCUGUUUUUUUUGGGCUUCCCCCUUCUCUCUCUCACUCCUUGGAUUCUUCUCCCCCUUACCCUCCCUCCCCCAUGGUGACUUGUUAGAUGAAUUCUGUAUCUAAUACUGGUCUCGAACUUUUAUUUUCCCCUUGUUUAUUUCAGCGGCCUUCAACUGCGUCUUGGAGCGUUGAAGGAGGAAGCAGUCGGACAGGAUGCGGUUCUUCCAUCGCGUCAAGAAAGAAAAGGAAAGGAACCAAAUUUUUUGUGAUUUACUCACUAGAUCCCUUGCUUGAUGAAAACCUCUCAUGGGUUUCUGGACUGUGUCGGGCUGAUUUGUCGGCUGCCUUGCUUGAUGAAAACCUCUUGCGAGAUAGAUUUUCUUUUUAACCGGCUAUAGAUGCAUAUAACUCCUGUUAUUCUUAGUAGGAAAACAAGCUGCAAUUUCACCAGGAGCGGGCACCAUUUCAAAAUGGGAUAUUUCAAUCUGCCAUUGUUGGGAAUAAUAGAUCUUUCUUCCGAAGCAUAGCAACAAUACCAUUUCACAAUCAACCUUCCAUUGUUGGGAAUAGAUCUUUCUUCCAAAGCAUAGCAGCAAUGGGUCAACCAGAGGUAUCUUUGGGACAAGAGAGUUCUGCCUGCCCUGACAUAGAUCGGCCUCAACGCCUUAAAUUCAAAAGGCUUGAUUAAACAGCAAAGCACAUCAUGAAUAUUUUAGAUAAAGAAGCAGUGGAAAAAGUAUGUGCUGAAAGAAGAGAGAUUCCUGAUGUAAAGCCUGGAUCUAUCGUUCAGCUAAAAGUGGUAUGACAUUCUUUAUUAGUUGAUUCCCUUUUGUUCUCUCUAUUGAUCUAUGAUUCGAACACGAAGUGCCUGAGAACAAAAACGCCGAGUUUCAGUUUGAAAAGGCAUUGUCAUAGCGAGGCAGAAUGCUGGUCUAAAUACAACAUUUAGAUUGCAUAUACUGGUGGCUGGUGUUGGGGUUGAAUCUGUUUUUCCCUUAUACUCUCCGAACAUCAAGGAAAUGAAGGUCCUAGAUAAGAAGAAAGUUAAGAGGGCCAAACCUUAUUACCUCAAGGACAGGAUGAAUGCGCUUAAGAAAUAAAUGAUUAUUUUUUGGUCAUUUCUUGUAUCCUAUAUCCUUUUUUAUUUCCCAAUUUGUGUUGUUCUAACAAUUCUGACCUUGUGCACUGGCUGUGAUCAUAGAGGGAUAUCGCCCAACACAUUUUCUAAAAUGAAUGUGGCAUAGCAAGCUGAGGUUAUCUAUCAUUCA